GGAUAAUUUGCAGCAAGUUGGGGUGAGACAAUACACGCGAUCAACACACACAAAUUAUGAACUAUCUAGAUUUCUCCACGUCAAAACAUGGCCAGGAACUACAAGAUUGUGAGGGGACCAGCCAAUUUUGGAUUACAAGCCUUGGAUAUUCUAAUACCUUGGAGUGUUUGCGAUGUAGGAAAACAAAGUAUUUGCCGAUUGUUUACCGCUGUGGAUAAAGACACGAGGAGACAGAUCAUUCUAGUGCGCCUGCCUGCGCCUGCCUGCGCCUGCCUGCGCCUGCCUGCGCCUGCCUGCGCCUGCCUGCACCUGCCUGCACCUGCCUGCACCUGCCGUUUUCUUUGUAAGUUUUUCCCUGAGUUUAAGUCCUGUCUGUUUUUGCCCUGGACUCCGGAGGACUUUGUGUUUUGGAUGUUUGGACGUUUUUUCGCCUUGGGCUCUUGAACUGUGUAUUCCCUGUGGACUGUUUUUGGCUCCAAUGAACUACCCUUUUGUUCACCUCCAACCUGCAGUUUGGUCCUCCUUCCCUCUUUUGUGGGGGUUUAGAUCAAAUGUUGAUAAAAUGCAUGAACAACCCACAUGGCUUAAAGUUAGAAAUCGAUUUGUGUAUUCGCUAAUGUUUUUUUUUACAUAACAUUAUAACAAACAAAACACCUUUUACUUUAUACACAAAACUAUCCUUUAGUACUGCUAUACAUCAUUAUCCAACGAGGCAUGCAGUUGGAGGGAGUUUUAUUUGACCUAAAAUGAAAACUAAAUCAAUUCAACAUUCAGUUAGGUACAGAACAAUGUGUGAAUGGAACUCUCUCCCUACAACUAACAAACACAACUCUCAGUAUGGCUUUAAAAAAUCACUUAAGACAUUUAUUUCCAAGGAAUUAAAUAUUUAAUAUAAAAUUAGUUGGUACAGGGCUUUUAUUGUAUUUCUUAAAAUAGAUUAAUCUAUUCGGAGUAGUGUAUUUUGUUUAAUUUUUUCUAUUGUGUUAACUGUAAGAUUUAAUUAUGAUUUGUAUGUCUGUAAUGAAAUGUUAUGAGUAUUGUCAAGGAAAGAUUGUAGGACCCCAGGAAGAAUAGUUUUUAGUGGAUGCUGAAGCUAAUGGGGAUCCAAAUAAAUAAAAAAAUAAAAAAACAGCCUUUAGGUGCUCCUGUUGUGGGUCUGCUCCCUUGUCCCGACCCAGUGUUUUUGCUUCUCCUUUUUUUCCCUGUUUGUCUUUCUGUGUUUGCCGGUUCUCCCAUGGAGGGGGCAUGCCUAAGAGGACCUGGGUCAGGAGGCGUGGCCACUCAUCCCUGCUCUGUGAACUGCACAGCUGUGUCACAUUACAUCAUCCAUCACCUCUGCAUUUAAACCCGGGCUGACCACCUCUUCAGCAUCUCGUGUUCCGUCUCGACACCUGUGCUGUUCAUCAGAUUGUCCCUUUUUGGACCACCUCCUACAACGUCAACCUCCUCCUGUGGAAAGGACUGUUUGUUCCCAUGUGCUUGACUUUACUUUAGAAAAAAUACUCUUUAGCUGCUAAAUGCUCCACUAACGCUCUUUCUCACUCAACACAAACACUAAGACCCACUAACAUCUGGCCUUUGUCUGCUGUGGGAAAGGGUUCAAUCAGAAUUUAUCCAGAUUAAACACACACAUGCACAAAGACUGUGCUGAAUGUAGCUUACUGUGCCUAGGGCGGCAGCAGCAACAACUGUGUAUUGGGAUAGUUUAUGAGCUGAUUGACAGGCGAUAGCAGCGGUAACAGCCUGUGCAAAUGCAUUUUGAAAGGGGAACAGCCAAUUGGGAAACACAAUCAUGUCAUCACACAUAAACCGACCAAUGGUGAAACUUUAUCACUCAGUGACAGAGCAACAGCUUUUGGAGGUCUUACGGCUGGUCUCUGUAGUCCAGCCAUAAGUUUUGAUAGAGUCAGUGUUUCCUCUCAGGGAGAGUCUGUGGUCUCAAAUGUGCUGAGUACAUGGUGUAAGUGUGGCAACCGUGCAGGACAGUUGUUUCAGUCAUUGCACAAUACUCACUGAAUACUCGUCUGAACUAUGACAUUGAAAAUGUGGAUAAGCAAAUAUACAUAGACAGUUAAAGAAAUCGAUCGACAGACCCUGUUGCUCUGGACGGAGACUAGUGAAGUCUAUUAGAAGCUCUUUUCCGGUGACGCUGAGCGUUACUGCGCAGCCUCCAACUGAGCUUGACGAUGUAGAUGUGGAGUGAGCAAACUGUCUGAAAGUUGUAAGUAUUCUGGUAGCUGUGCAAGAGAAAUCUCAAUCAUUCCAAUCAGCAGAGAUGGAGAGCGUAGGUAUGUGUUAGGAGAUAGCAUGGGCACAGGCUUAUGCUAAUUACACUUCAGUAAUUCCUCUACUAUGCUACAGUAAGUCACAUGGCUAUGACACAAUUGCUAGCCUAUUUUUACAAAAACAUCUAAGGAGACAUAACGUGAGGUAAAAGGUAAUGGUGUUACGGUUAGUAAGACCCAGAACCACAGAGAUACAAAAAGGCACGCAGACAGGAUAAAGUUCAGGUGGUUUAACGAGUGCGGAGGGGUUCAAACACUGGUGUAGACAGGUGGCUGGUCGGUGUGAGGAAGGAAGGCAGCUUGGCGGGACAACUGAUGGAUCUAUGAGGAGAGGCAGAGUUAGUACUUGAAUGCAACAACACGAGUGCAAACAACUAGGAGCCAAGUUACCACAAUAGUGCAUGUAACGAUCUGGCGCUGAAGAGGCGGUCAGCCCGGGUUUAUGAAUGGCAGUGGGUGGUGUGGUGGUGGCAGUGAUGAGGAACAGCUGAGUGGAUAACGGAACGUAGAACGCCCUCACGGCAAAACAGACAGAACACACAGAAGAAAGGGGAGACACGACAUAGGCUGGGGAAUGCAGCAGACCACAACAAAUGGAGCCUUUUAUACAUUGUCGUGUUUCUUUGGAAAUUAACAAUGAACAAAUAAAGUCUAUGAACGCUUCAGAUAAAGGUAUUCACUGUCAAAGUGACGUCAAAAGUAAUGUCAGCGGGUGAUGCCUUGUUAGCAUCAAAAUGGCGCCAUAGGAGAUACACGUUGUGAAUGGAGGCUUACCCUUUUGCAAAGCUUUGUCUUGAUAGGGAGGCAUGUUUUGUACUGUACCCGAGCCGUAUGGUCAAGUCAUGUAAUUUUUAUUGCGACUGCGCCACUUGACUCACAGGUUUAUACAAAAUUGCACUUUAUUACACUUAUCGGGAACAAAAUGAGUUAACUUCAAAGAACAAAGCAUGAUGUAAAUGUGGUUUGAGAGAUGUACAAAGUAGUUUGGAAUAAUUGCGAAAAGUAUUUUUAUUUUUGUUGAGGAAAAUGCACAUGGCUUUGCGUGGACUUAUCUGUGAAAUAUUUUCGUGGUUUAAAAUGAAAAAAUACGGUAAAUUACUAACUUUUUCUGAGAAAAAUAUGCACGUGGCUCUGCUUGAUUGAGUGUAAAAAGAACUAGCUUUGAAGAAGGAUGAGAUGAGAUAUGUAGCUGAACAAUGAAUCAAAACUGUCAACAGAGAAAUCCCUGUGUUUUGGUAUUAAAGGAAUUGUUUGACCUUUUGGGAAAUACUCGUAUCCGUUUCCUUGCCGAAGAUCAGAUGAGAAGAUUGAUAUAACUUUAAUUAUUGCCCAAAAGCUAAAACUGGGAUCAAAGAAAUGUCACAACAUGUUAUUAAUAAUAUAAAAGAAGGAAUGGUGAAACUAUCUACUGUAACUAGUGCUGUAAUGGAUUUGCAGUAGUUGAUCAUUAACUCCAAGAUGAUUUGGUUCUGUGUCACAGCUGAGGUUGAGAGUGGUCAUUUG